CCUUAUGGACGGCCAUAAGGCGAGCCGAAUUUCGGCGGGACGACCCGC
rfam:Kluyvera intermedia strain CAV1151, complete genome.